rnacentral:rRNA from 1 species
UACAACCAAACCUCCGCAAUGAACGGGACCACUCCCUUAUCUAAGAGCCACACCUCUAAGAAUUAAAACACUAACAUAAAAUGAUCCAUGAUCUGAUCAAUGAACCAAGUUACCCUGGGGAUAACAGCGCAAUCCAUUUCAAGAGCCCCUAUCGACAAGUGGGUUUACGACCUCGAUGUUGGAUCAGGGUAUCCUAGUGGUGCAGCAGCUACUAAUGGUUCGUUUGUUCAACGAUUAAAACCCU